rnacentral:rRNA from 1 species
GACGAACGCUGGCGGCGUGCCUAAUACAUGCAAGUCGAGCGAGACUCUUCGGAGUCUAGCGGCGGACGGGUGAGUAACACGUGGGCAACCUGCCUGUAAGACUGGGAUAACACCGGGAAACCGGUGCUAAUACCGGAUAAUCCUUUUCCUCUCAUGAGGAAAAGCUGAAAGUCGGUUUCGGCUGACACUUACAGAUGGGCCCGCGGCGCAUUAGCUAGUUGGUGAGGUAACGGCUCACCAAGGCGACGAUGCGUAGCCGACCUGAGAGGGUGAUCGGUCACACUGGGACUGAGACACGGCCCAGACUCCUACGGGAGGCAGCAGUAGGGAAUCUUCCACAAUGGACGAAAGUCUGAUGGAGCAACGCCGCGUGAGCGAUGAAGGCCUUCGGGUCGUAAAGCUCUGUUGUUAGGGAAGAACAAGUACCGGAGUAACUGCCGGUACCUUGACGGUACCUAACCAGAAAGCCACGGCUAACUACGUGCCAGCCGCCGCCGUAAGAC